AAAGUACUCCCUCUGUCCCAAAAUUCUUGUCUUAGAUUUGUCUAGAUACAGAUGUAUCAAGUCACAUUUUAGUAUUAGAUACAUCCGUAUCUAGACAAAUCUAAGACAAGAAAUUUGGGAUAGAGGGAGUAGUUG
rfam:Triticum aestivum genome assembly, contig: Triticum_aestivum_CS42_TGACv1_scaffold_499527_6BL